rnacentral:rRNA from 1 species
GGGGGCAGCAGUAAGGAAUAUGGUCAAUGGGGCAACCCUGACCCAGCCAUGCCGGGUGCAGGAAGACUGCCCUAUGGGUUGUAAACUGCUUUUAUCCGGGAAUAAACCUUUCUACGUGUAGAGAGCUGAAUGUACCGGAAGAAUAAGGAUCGGCUAACUCCGUGCCAGCAGCCGCGGUAAUACGGAGGAUCCAAGCGUUAUCCGGAUUUAUUGGGUUUAAAGGGUGCGUAGGCGGCCUGUUAAGUCAGGGGUGAAAGACGGUAGCUCAACUAUCGCAGUGCCCUUGAUACUGAUGGGCUUGAAUGGACUAGAGGUAGGCGGAAUGAGACAAGUAGCGGUGAAAUGCAUAGAUAUGUCUCAGAACACCGAUUGCGAAGGCAGCUUACUAUGGUUCUAUUGACGCUGAGGCACGAAAGCGUGGGGAUCGAACAGGAUUAGAUACCCUGGUAGUCCACGCCCUAAACGAUGAACACUCGCUGUUGGCGAUACACAGUCAGCGGCUAAGCGAAAGCGUUAAGUGUUCCACCUGGGGAGUACGGUCGCAAGAUUGAAACUCAAAGGAAUUGACGGGGGCCCGCACAAGCGGAGGAGCAUGUGGUUUAAUUCGAUGAUACGCGAGGAACCUUACCCGGGCUUGAAAGUUAGUGAAGUUCCCAGAGAUGGGAGCGUCCGCAAGGACACGAAACUAGGUGCUGCAUGGCUGUCGUCAGCUCGUGCCGUGAGGUGUUGGGUUAAGUCCCGCAACGAGCGCAACCCCUGUGUUUAGUUGCCAGCAUGUAAUGAUGGGGACUCUAGACAAACUGCCUGUGCAAACAGAGAGGAAGGAGGGGACGACGUCAAGUCAUCAUGGCCCUUACGUCCGGGGCUACACACGUGCUACAAUGGACGGUACAGAGGGCAGCUACACGGCAACGUGAUGCGAAUCUCACAAAGCCGUUCACAGUUCGGAUCGGGGUCUGCAACUCGACCCCGUGAAGUUGGAUUCGCUAGUAAUCGCGUAUCAGCAAUGACGCGGUGAAUACGUUCCCGGGCCUUGUACACACCGCCCGUCAAGCCAUGGAAGUUGGGGGUACCUAAAGUAUGUAACCGCAAGGAGCGUCCUAGGUAG